UACGGGGGGAGCAAGCGUUGUUCGGAUUUACUGGGCGUAAAGGGCGCGUAGGCGGUCAGCACAAGUCAGUUGUGAAAUCUCCGAGCUUAACUCGGAAAGGUCAACUGAUACUGUGCGACUAGAGUGCGGAAGGGGCAACUGGAAUUCUUGGUGUAGCGGUGAAAUGCGUAGAUAUCAAGAGGAACACCUGCGGCGAAGGCGGGUUGCUGGGCCGACACGUGACGCUGAGGCGCGAAAGCUAGGGUAGCAAACGGGG
rnacentral:rRNA from 1 species